rnacentral:rRNA from 1 species
UACCAGCACCCCGAGUGGUCGGGACGAUUAUUGGGCCUAAAGCAUCCGUAGCCGGCCUUACAAGUCCUCCGUUAAAUCCAGCUGCUUAACAGAUGGGCUGCGGAGGAUACUAUAAGACUAGGAGGCAGGAGAGGCAAGCGGUACUCAGUGGGUAGGGGUAAAAUCCGUUGAUCCAUUGAAGACCACCAGUGGCGAAGGCGGGCUUGCCAGAAUGCGCUCGACGGUGAGGGAUGAAAGCUGGGGGAGCAAACCGG